rnacentral:snRNA from 13 species
UGCAAAGGAAGGCAGUUUGUCUAUAACAAGGUCGAGAAAGCGAAGCACAUCAGCGAGUUCGUCAUCUAUCGCGACAGCGUUGGCAUCCUUCUGGCGCUGGCCAAGUAGAUGCACAGCUGGCAGCCCAAGGCGACCGAAGACGGGGCAGACACAGAAACGGGCUUUGCCGCGGAGGGAGGA